GAAGUUCCUCCAAUGUAGCUCCCUCAAAGUCAUUUGGAACCAACUGCAAAAACUCACGGAAAAAAGUUCUGCUUCUUCUUUUAUUUCUUCUCCUUUUUUUGUUACACUGCCAUCUUGCCUUUGAAUCUCACGAAUUGAGUUAUGCGCUACUCUCGCCAUUACCGCUCGAUGGAAUGUUUUGUUAUUCUUGUCACCGACUUGCAUCCAAUGGAGCUUUGACUUCUGUUUCAAAUAUUUUUCUUCUAUUUCCGCCAACAGUUCCCAUUUCUCAUGCGCUUCAGUUUCCUCGAUCAUGGCCUGUGGAGAAGGACUCUUCAAAUUUUCCUCUUGCUUUUGACAUAGGGUAUCAUGCGCUUCCUUUGUUCUCUUUACCAAAUUACCCAUCUUUUCUUUAGCCAGUUGACGGAUUUUUGGUUUAAGUGCCUUCAGCUUUUUGGUGAAUCUAAACAUGGUAGAAGUUGACAUAUAAACAGGCUCUGUUGUUUUCCAGUAAGCUUCUACCAUAGGACGAAAUUCCUGCAUUUCCGCUAUAGCAUUGAUAAACUUGAAUGGUUUCUUCCCCUUCACUCUUUCACCAACAUCAAUAUUGAGAUUUAUCCUACAACGUAAAUGAUCUGAGCACCCUCCUGCCUCAAAUACAUUGUACGAUUGCGGGAAACUCAUCUUCCAUUUAUUAUUCACCAGAACCCGAUCCAACUUUUUCAGUAUUAAAUCAUUCUCCUGUCUAUUACUCCAAGUGUAGAGCGAACCAUGUGAAGAUAGGUCAGUGAAAGCACAAUAAUUCACCAUCUCUUGAAACUCACGCAUCCCAUAAGUUACUCUUGUGUCAUCCCCUUUAGAAUGCUCUGCCAUAUUCAGAAUUUCGUUGAAAUCUCCAAAAAUUAUCCAAGGCUUAUUUCGAAUGAUUGGAGAAUCACAAUGAUCUCUUAGAUCAUUCCAUAAGUCUUUCCUUUCCGAAGCAAAAUUUGAGACGUAAAGAAAUGAACAAAAGAAUUCAUCUUCUUGGCCCUCCAAUUUCACUGAGCACGUUAUGAGUUGGCCACUUUUAUAUAUCGGACUGAGCCUAGUGUUAUUGCGCCACACAACCCAAAUCCUGCCACGCCUGUUGUGCUCAUAAUUUGUCAAAAUAGACCAGUCUUUAAAAAUUUGAUUUCCCACUGUCUGCAUCUUGCUCUCCUGAACUCUUGUCUCUAGAAUACAUCCAAACUGAAAAUUUUGUUCCUCCACCCAUUUCUUUAUAACGGAAUGUUUAGUAGAUUUGUUUAGACCGCGAACAUUCCAAAAGAAACACGACAUUAAUGAGAUUUUUUGUUGUUUCUCUUACUCUGAUCAUUAGGAAUAUUCCUGGCCGAUUGAGUAGUAGAAACCGUUUUAUGAGCUGUUUUGGAUCCCCUUGGUAAGUACUGUCUCGAGGGCGGAUCUUUUGUUCCCCUAGACUCAUCAACCACUGUUGUAGUGCAUGCUGUCACCGGAGGGUCUUGUGGGAGUAUAAUCUCUUUCUCCACCCCCUCUUUUCCAAUAGUUGGUUCAUCCACUACUUCAUCUACUUCACUUAAAGCUGAGUAGGGAUUAGACAGAAUUGUUACCGCCCCAUAUUUAGGCCCCUCUGUUGCUUUCCGCGGACUUCUACUUGUUUUUGGUGGUGUAAUCCAUCUCUGACCAUCCUCACCCAGAUUUCCAAUAACGAUUUGUGUAGGUGUUACCUCUUUCUCUUUAACCUCCACUAAAUAAAUUGAUAAAAAUAAAUUGGAUUUUUUAGUUAGAAAGGUUUGGCAGGACGUUAUUUACUAAAAAAUAAAUGAGUUUUUUAGGAUGAAAGGUUUGACUAGAACUGAAGAUUUAUGUUUAUUAUACUAUAAAGUAAAAGAUCAAUCUUGUAACUCAUUUUU
rnacentral:sRNA from 1 species